rnacentral:rRNA from 1 species
UACGGGAGGCAGCAGUGGGGAAUUUUGGACAAUGGGCGCAAGCCUGAUCCAGCAAUGCCGCGUGUGUGAAGAAGGCCUUCGGGUUGUAAAGCACUUUUGUCCGGAAAGAAAACCUCUGCCCUAAUACGGCGGGGGGAUGACGGUACCGGAAGAAUAAGCACCGGCUAACUACGUGCCAGCAGCCGCGGUAAUACGUAGGGUGCAAGCGUUAAUCGGAAUUACUGGGCGUAAAGCGUGCGCAGGCGGUUCGUUAAGACAGAUGUGAAAUCCCCGGGCUUAACCUGGGAACUGCAUUUGUGACUGGCGGACUCGAGUAUGGCAGAGGGGGGUAGAAUUCCACGUGUAGCAGUGAAAUGCGUAGAGAUGUGGAGGAAUACCGAUGGCGAAGGCAGCCCCCUGGGCCAAUACUGACGCUCAUGCACGAAAGCGUGGGGAGCAAACAGGAUUAGAUACCCUGGUAGUCCACGCCCUAAACGAUGUCAACUGGUUGUCGGGUCUUCAUUGACUUGGUAACGUAGCUAACGCGUGAAGUUGACCGCCUGGGGAGUACGGUCGCAAGAUUAAAACUCAAAGGAAUUGACGGGGACCCGCACAAGCGGUGGAUGAUGUGGAUUAAUUCGAUGCAACGCGAAAAACCUUACCUACCCUUGACAUGUAUGGAAUCCUGCUGAGAGGUGGGAGUGCCCGAAAGGGAGCCAUAA